GUCGUGGUGGCCUAAUGGUUAGUGCGCUUGGUCUGCAGAUCGAGAGAUCCGGGUUCGAGUCCUGCCCGGCGUCG